rfam:Soonwooa buanensis strain DSM 22323 genome assembly, contig: LY62DRAFT_scaffold00007.7
ACAAUGGAGAGUUUGAUCCUGGCUCAGGAUGAACGCUAGCGGGAGGCCUAACACAUGCAAGCUGAGCGGUAGAUUUUCUUCGGAAGAUUGAGAGCGGCGUACGGGUGCGUAACACGUGUGCAACCUGCCCUUAUCAAGAGGAUAGCCUUUCGAAAGGAAGAUUAAUACUCUAUAAUAUAUUGACUGGCAUCAGUAAAUAUUGAAAGAUUUAUCGGAUAAGGAUGGGCAC